AAACACGGCGUAUCUAUCCUCUAGCGGUAUAACCGCAUGUUUUUCUGACUACAGCGUCUGCACCCUCGUGGCUUCCUUUCUUAAAAGCGGCAUUAGUCUGAUGAAGGCACAGAGUUGCCGAAACGUUACCACCUCGCCGCAGCAACCGACUUUGAAUUCCUAA